rnacentral:rRNA from 1 species
UACAGAGGUCCCGAGCGUUGUUCGGAUUCACUGGGCGUAAAGGGUGCGUAGGCGGUCUUCUAAGUUUGAUGUGAAAUCCCGGGGCUCAACCCUGGAAUUGCAUUGAAUACUGGAGGACUAGAGUACCGGAGAGGAAACUGGAAUUUACGGUGUAGCAGUGAAAUGCGUAGAGAUCGUAAGGAAGACCAGUGGCGAAGGCGAGUUUCUGGACGGUAACUGACGCUGAGGCACGAAGGCCAGGGGAGCAAACGGG